rnacentral:rRNA from 1 species
CCUACGGGAGGCAGCAGUAGGGAAUAUUGGGCAAUGGGGGCAACCCUGACCCAGCAACGCCGCGUGAGGGAAGAAGGUUCUCUGGAUUGUAAACCCCUGUCCUAUGGGACGAAUAGAUGACGGUACCAUAGGAGGGAGCUCCGGCUAACUACGUGCCAGCAGCCGCGGUAAUA